rnacentral:rRNA from 1 species
UUCGCAAUGCCCGAAAGGGUGACGAAGCGACGCCGCGUGCGGGAAGAAGGCCUUCGGGUUGUAAACCGCUGUCGGGAGUUAAGAAAUGCAAGGAUAUUAAUAGUGUCUUUGCUUGACUAAGGCUCCGGAGGAAGCCACGGCUAACUCUGUGCCAGCAGCCGCGGUAAUACAGAGGUGGCAAGCGUUGUUCGGAAUUAUUGGGCGUAAAGAGCACGUAGGCGGCUCUGCAAGUCAGCUGUGAAAGCCUUCUGCUUAACGGAAGAACAGCAGUUGAAACUACAGGGCUUGAGUGUGGGAGAGGAGAGUGGAACUUCUGGUGGAGCGGUGAAAUGCGUAGAUAUCAGAAGGAACGCCGGCGGCGAAAGCGGCUCUCUGGCCCAUAACUGACGCUGAGUGUGCGAAAGCUAGGGGAGCAAACGGGAUUAGAUACCCCGGUAGUCCUAGCCGUAAACGAUGGGCACUAAGUAGAGGGGUUUU